AUGUUGCCCCCUGCAACGCCCCACCACGGCUUCCAGAUAGAUCGCGAAGAGCAAGCCGGACACCCGCCCGACGAUGAGGACGCCCGGAUGGUCAAGAUCGGCACCGUAGACGGCGACAGGAGUUGCCCCGCCGGGCCUCACACACCGGCCACCGGCAGCCGCGCGAGCAGAAGCAGACGCGCCCGCGCCCGGCCGGCAGGCGCCCCGCACCGUCCGUGGCCACCAGGCAGCAGAUCUGGCCGAGCCAGACCAGGCCGCUGCCGCUCCUGCCAAGGACGCGCCCGCGCCAACGAAGCCCACCACGCCGCCGCCACGCACCCGCGACCCCGCCGCCGCCGGCCCGCGCCAGCCGCCACUGAGCGAAGGGAGGAAGGGCCCCGCCGCCGAUGA
rnacentral:rRNA from 1 species